rnacentral:rRNA from 1 species
AACGAACGCUGGCGGCAGGCCUAACACAUGCAAGUCGAGCGAGGACUUCGGUCCUACCGGCGGACGGGUGAGUAACGCGUGGGAACGUGCCCUUUGCUUCGGAAUAGCCCUGGGAAACUGGGAGUAAUACCGGAUGAGCCCUUUGGGGGAAAGAUUUAUCGGCGAAGGAUCGGCCCGCGUUGGAUUAGGUAGUUGGUGGGGUAAUGGCCUACCAAGCCGACGAUCCAUAGCUGGUUUGAGAGGAUGAUCAGCCACACUGGGACUGAGACACGGCCCAGACUCCUACGGGAGGCAGCAGUGGGGAAUCUUAGACAAUGGGGGAAACCCUGAUCGAGCCAUGCCGCGUGAGCGAUGAAGGCCUUAGGGUUGUAAAGCUCUUUCAGCUGGGAAGAUAAUGACGGUACCAGCAGAAGAAGCCCCGGCUAACUCCGUG